rnacentral:rRNA from 1 species
GCUUGUCUCAAAGAUUAAGCCAUGCAUGUCUUAGUGUAAAUAACUCUUAUGAAACUGCGAAUGGCUCAUUAAAUCAGUUAUCGUUUAUUUGAUGAUCUCUUACUACUUGGAUAACCGUAGUAAUUCUAGAGCUAAUACAUGCACAAAAUCCCGACUUACGAAGGGAUGUAUUUAUUAGAUACAAACCAACAUCGUGGUGAUUCAUAAUAACUUCACGAAUCGCACGGCCUCGUGCCGGCGAUGUUUCAUUCAAAUUUCUGCCCUAUCAACUUUUGAUGGUAGGAUAGAGGCCUACCAUGGUGGUAACGGGUGACGGAGGAUUAGGGUUCGAUUCCGGAGAGGGAGCCUGAGAAACGGCUACCACAUCCAAGGAAGGCAGCAGG